rnacentral:rRNA from 1 species
GACGAACGCUGGCGGCGUGCUUAACACAUGCAAGUCGAACGAUGAAGCCGGAGCUUGCUCUGGUGAAUUAGUGGCGAACGGGCGAGUAACACGUGAGUAACCCGCCCUUGACUCUGGGAUAACUGCGGGAAACUGUAGCUAAUACCGGAUACGACCCUCGGAGGCAUCUCCUGGGGGUGGAAAGAAUUUCGGUCAAGGAUGGACUCGCGGCCCAUCAGCUAGUUGGUGAGGUAAAGGCUCACCAAGGCGACGACGGGUAGCCGGCCUGAGAGGGUGACCGGCCACACUGGGACUGAGACACGGCCCAGACUCCUACGGGAGGCAGCAGUGGGGAAUAUUGCACAAUGGGCGCAAGCCUGAUGCAGCAACGCCGCGUGAGGGAUGACGGCCUUCGGGUUGUAAACCUCUUUUAGCAGGGAAGAAGCGAAAGUGACGGUACCUGCAGAAAAAGCACCGGCUAACUACGUGCCAGCAGCCGCAGUAA